rnacentral:rRNA from 1 species
CCUACGGGGGGCAGCAGUGGGGAAUAUUGGACAAUGGGGGCAACCCUGAUCCAGCCAUGCCGCGUGUGUGAAGAAGGCCCUCGGGUUGUAAAGUACUUUCAGUGAGGAAGAACGCCUGGUGGUUAAUACCCAUCAGGAAAGACAUCACUCACAGAAGAAGCACCGGCUAACUCCGUGCCAGCAGCCGCGGUAAUACGGAGGGUGCGAGCGUUAAUCGGAAUUACUGGGCGUAAAGCGCGCGUAGGUGGCUUGAUAAGCCGGUUGUGAAAGCCCCGGGCUCAACCUGGGAACGGCAUCCGGAACUGUCAAGCUAGAGUGCAGGAGAGGAAGGUAGAAUUCCCGGUGUAGCGGUGAAAUGCGUAGAGAUCGGGAGGAAUACCAGUGGCGAAGGCGGCCUUCUGGACUGACACUGACACUGAGGUGCGAAAGCGUGGGUAGCAAACAGGAUUAGAUACCCCUGUAGUC